UACGUAGGUGGCAAGCGUUGUCCGGAUUUACUGGGCGUAAAGAGCGCGCAGGCGGUCGUUCAAGUCGCGUGUGAAAGCCCCCGGCUCAACUGGGGAGGGUCACGCGAUACUGAUCGACUCGAAGGCAGGAGAGGGUAGUGGAAUUCCCGGUGUAGUGGUGAAAUGCGUAGAUAUCGGGAGGAACACCGGUGGCGAAGGCGGAUCUCUGGGCCUUACCUGACGCUGAGGCGCGAAAGCUAGGGGAGCGAACAGG
rnacentral:rRNA from 1 species